rnacentral:rRNA from 1 species
UACGUAGGGGGCGAGCGUUGUCCGGAGUUACUGGGCGUAAAGCGCACGCAGGCGGUCUGCUAAGUUUGGAGUGACAGUUGGUGGCUUAACUGCCAAAGUGCUUCGAAAACUGACAGACUUGAGGGCUUCAGAGGGAAACGGAAUUCCGGGUGGAGUGGUGAAAUGCGUAGAGAUCCGGAGGAACACCAAAGGCGAAGGCAGUGUCCUGGGGAGUCCCUGACGCUCAGGUGCGAAAGCCAGGGGAGCGAACGGG